UACGGAGGGGGCGAGCGUUAUUCGGAAUUAUUGGGCGUAAAGGGCGCGUAGGCGGCCUGAUAAGUCAAAGGUGAAAUCCCUCGGCUCAACUGAGGAACUGCCUUUGAAACUGUUAGGCUUGAGGCCGGGAGGGGGUAGCGGAAUUCCCAGUGUAGCGGUGAAAUUCGUAGAUAUCGGGAGGAAUACCGGUGGCGAAGGCGACUUUCUGGACGAAUACUGACGCUGAGGCGCGAAAGCGUGGGGAGCAAACAGGAUUAGAAACCCCGGUAGU
rnacentral:rRNA from 1 species